UGUCAUGCCUAUGUAUUCACGAUGAUUUACAGCAGAAUGUCAAUAGCACCCAUCAUGAUGCCGAUGUUGGUCAGUUUCUUUUACCUGGUAAUGUUGUUGCGUGUAGAAGGCGCUAACAUUGAAAACAAUGACGAUUCGAUAGAACAACAGGAAACUUCACAUGCAGCGGCCAUUCGGAGAGACAUAUCCGACGACUUGACAGAUACAAGAAAAACUGUAGAAGAUUUGACAAAUUAUAAGCGAGAAUCCUCAGACGUGGACGCGAAGGUUGAUGAUAUAAUGCACUCAUUACAAGGGAUAUGUUUUCACGAUAAACCCAAAAACACAGCGAAGCAACUGUUAAAAGACACUCAAUCCAUACUGAACAAUAUUGAUGUAUACAGUGAUGUAGUUAAACUUAACACACAGUUGAGAAAUAAGUUGAAAUGGAUAGUGGAAGGCAAGUAUUACUUGAAAAAUAACAUUGAAUCAUUA